CAGCGGUGACAAACAUCAGUUGGUCAGGCUUCAUCCAUAAUAAGCACACUCAUAUGUGAGUAAAUGCAAUAAGCUUUUCACGCCAGGCUUCAGAUAAUUUUUAGAACUAAACUGAAUUUACUUAUACUAAGUAUUGUCACCUUGGUAACUCAAUCCAAGAAGUUGCACCGCUGAAGCCAUACCAUGCCAUCUCUUUUCAAUCUUCUGCCAAGAAAAUGUUGGUCUUGCUGGUUAUCUUUCAACAAGCAAGAAUGCAUGACAACCAAUGUUCUGAUUAACUUGGUUCUAUGCAUCUGAUAUAAAGUACGGACAUUGGUAAGAUAGCUAGAACAUCUUGCUUAUUGCUAGCUGCUUCCUAGCACAUAGAAGGCUUGGACCUGAUCUAUGCAAAAAAAAGUCCUCUCUCUUUGCAAACAACUAUUUUGCUAAUCUAAAUAUGAAAUCAGUAGAUGCAUUUUUUUUGUUCAUUGUCUUCAUGCUUUUUCUAGGCACCACUAUACAACCUGGGUGUCAUCUGUGGAGUGACAAGUCAAACAAACUACAGAUACACUUCUGUUUGCCAUGCCAAUUUUUUGGCUAGCUUGGAUGGUGGAUUAUCAUGGGAGCUGUUUUUCGCUGAAUUCUGGAACCAACCAGAUAAGAGACUUGAAGAACCAAAAACGUCCUUCUGCUGCCCUAUACCGGAUGACCACAAAUAUCCUGGUCGUUGUGUUGUUUGCGAGAAUGAUUCGAGUGUCAUCAUCCAUCCACAGUCGGGCAAGUAUUACAUGGGACACUCAGGUCUACUUCCUCAACUAGUCAACCUUGUGGCUGAUACUGAGAAAUUGGACUUUGACAUAAUUUACUCAAGUGAAGGUGGUGAAGGAGUAUGAGGUCCUGCAACCGGGGGAGUGAAUGAACGGCCCGCUUCUCAUGUAGAGGCU